rnacentral:rRNA from 1 species
CGCAAGAAUGAAACUCAAAGGAAUUGACGGGACCCGCACAAGCGGUGGAGCAUGUGGUUUAAUCCGAGGCAACGCGAAGAACCUUACCAAGUCUUGACAUCCCUCUGACCGUCCCUUAACCGGGGCUUUCCUUCGGGACAGGGGAGACAGGUGGUGCAUGGUUGUCGUCAGCUCGUGUCGUGAGAUGUUGGGUUAAGUCCCGCAACGAGCGCAACCCCUAUCCUUAGUAGCCAGCAGUAAGAUGGGCACUCUGGGGAGACUGCCGGAGACAAUCCGGAGGAAGGUGGGGAUGACGUCAAAUCAUCAUGCCCCUUAUGAUUUGGGCUACACACGUGCUACAAUGGCGUAAACAAAGGGAAGCGACGGAGUGAUCCUGAGCAAAUCUCAAAAAUAACGUCCCAGUUCGGAUUGUAGUCUGCAACUCGACUACAUGAAGCUGGAAUCGCUAGUAAUCGCGGAUCAGAAUGCCGCGGUGAAUACGUUCCCGGUCGACGCGGCCG